rnacentral:rRNA from 1 species
CCCGCUGAACUUAAGCAUAUCAAUAAGCGGAGGAAAAGAAACUAACAAGGAUUCCCCUAGUAACUGCGAGUGAAGCGGGAAAAGCUCAAAUUUAAAAUCUGGCGGUCUUUCGGCCGUCCGAGUUGUAAUCUGGAGAAGUGUUAUCCGCGCUGGACCGUGUACAAGUCUCCUGGAAUGGAGCGUCAUAGAGGGUGAGAAUCCCGUCUUUGACACGGACUGCCAGGGCAUUGUGAUGCGCUCUCGAAGAGUCGAGUUGUUUGGGAAUGCAGCUCAAAAUGGGUGGUAAAUUCCAUCUAAAGCUAAAUAUUGGGGAGAGACCGAUAGCGAACAAGUACCGUGAGGGAAAGAUGAAAAGAACUUUGGAAAGAGAGUUAAACAGUACGUGAAAUUGCUGAAAGGGAAACGCUUGAAGUCAGUCGCGUCGUUCAGGACUCAGCCUUGCUUUGCUUGGUGUACUUUCUGUUCGACGGGUCAGCAUCAAUUUUGGUCGGUGGAUAAAGGCUCAGAGAAUGUGGCAUCUUCGGGUGUGUUAUAGCUCUGGGUCGCAUACAUCGGCUGGGAUUGAGGAACUCAGCACGCCGCAAGGCCGGGUACUUGUACCACGUACGUGCUUAGGAUGCUGGCAUAAUGGCUUUAAUCGACCCGUCUUGAAACACGG